UUCCAGCAUGCACAGUGUGGUUUGAAAUCCACAGACAAGGGAGCAUGGCUUCCUUCCUUGGCCUGCUGCCCCACGCGCGGUGAGCAGAGCAGCCAAGCCAAAGUGGCAGCCACAGUGUGGGAGCCCAGCUCUGCUGCCAUAAAUUAGCCAGGGGCAGGAAGGAGCAGUGAGAGUCAGCGGUUUCAGCUACCUAGUAGUUCAUUUUUGUUCUUGUUUUUCAGUUAGCAAUCUGUAAAAUUUAUUGCAAAAUUAAGCUCCCUGCUCCAGAGUCAAUAAUAUUCCUGGUGCCAGGUGGUGUAAUAAUUCACAAAAAGGGCAGGAGCUGGAGAGAAUGAGACUGAUUUAGGAAGUAGACUUCCAAGCCCGAUUUGCUGCUGCCUACUCCCUGCUGCUAAAGGUCAGUCUCAGGUGAAGACUGCUGAAGACAACCUGGUAGACUCGAGAUAAAAAAGAUUAUUGCAGAAAAAGAAGGAUACGCAAGUGGUAAAAGAUACACUUUAACAAGGUCCUGAAAGUCGGCAACAUAGGAAGAAGUUGGGAUCAGAGAGAGAAGACAAGCAAACCUUGAACUGACACUACUGAUUCACAGCCUUAACAUUGUGGAGACAAGAAUGCCUCCAGGUAGGACUCUAAGAUUUCUACUACAAAUGAAGACAAAAUUUUAUCUGAAGUAAAAGAGAGAACAUCUGAGAACAUCAGAGAACAUCUGAACUUGCCUUUGGGGAUCCUGGCACAGAUGGAGUCUUCCUCUUCUGGAUCCAUGGAGGCUGCUCUAGACUGAUGAAGGUUUCCCCAUCUGGAUUUCUAUCUUCAUAGACCUUAAGGUGUUGCCAAUGACCUGAGCCCUGGUGACAUGUGAACAGAAGAGAUGUGUAGUCCUUUAAAGUUGCUGUGACCAAGAAGUGAGACUUCCCAUGGUCUCUUUCCCGUCUUCCAGCUGCACUGAGAGUUCUCUAAGGACUCUGAACAGAGCUGAGCUACAAGAAGAGAGGGAUUGGGCUUCCUGAAUGACCUCAUCAGAGGCUGUAUGACCAGGAACAUAUCCCCUGGACUGGGACAUGAACAGUAAAUGAACUUUCAUUGUAUUAAGCCACUGAGAUUAUAAAUUUCUGAUUCAACUGAGAUUGCUACCCAUUACCUAUCACUGAUACGUUACAUAAACAUUUCCUUCCAUCCUCACUUCCUUUUAAGUUAUCUGACUUAUAAUAUUUUAUGUGUUUUAACUUUUAUAAGGUAGUUAUACAGAUCUUAGCAGUGUGCCAAGUUGUAUAAAUCUGUACUAAUCAGGUUAAGUAGUACUUCCCGGGUUUACUGGCAUUUGUUUUUCUCCUUCUUAGACUUACCCAUUCAUCUCUUGUCCAUUUUCUAUCAGGCUAUUAAUUUUUUCCUAUUGUUUUCAAGGACUACCUUCUUUAUUUUGGCUGUUGCCAGAGUGUACUGGCAUCAGAGCACUUGUAAGAAUUAAUUUAUCCCUUUGCAUGCCACAUGCAACUUCUUCCUAUCUGCUCAACCAUCUCUCUGUACAUGGAGUCUCUUACUAUGAUUUCCUAAUACCUCUCAAUGAGGGUUUGUACGUUCCCUAGGAACACAAUCUGACAUCUCUCUCUCUCCCUCCCUUUCCCUGUGUGUGUGUGUGUGUGUGAAAGAGAGAGAGAGAGAGAGAGAGAGAGAGAGAGAGAGAUCAACUGAUUGAGAUUUACUAAGAGAGUGCACUGAGGAGAAACCUAUAGGGAAAUAAGGAAAACAGAAAAAAGAGAAAGAACAUGUACAGGUAGCUGGCUCAGCUGAAGUCUAACUUCAGCCUAAUCCCACUGGGAGCUUUAGAAUGUGAGGGGCACCAUAGGCUUGGCUAAACCUUGAGGCGAGAGGAUAGAGCUUUUGCACCCUUCAUUACUUGGUCAUUGACUACCAGCCAUCUUUUCUGGAAGGAGUGUAACUUUUUAAGCAUUGCUGGGUACAUUGGCUCCCAGUGGCCAAGGGGAAGUUUUGAAAAGACAUGGCAGCUGUCAACCAUGAGCAGCAAAUUCUCAAGAGUAGCUGGGAGAUAAGUGUACUAGAAGGUAAUGGAAUCUUGAUCAGGCACCAACAGUAUCUACAAUAGUAUGAUACAUUUUUGUGUCACUGUAAGACAGUAAGAACAAGAUAGGAUGGAGCCAAGUGUCUGGUUCCUUUCUUUGGGCUUUGCUCUAAGUAUUCAGAACUACCAAUACUUAAAUGCAUUUUUAAAAGACACAUGUUUAAGAAAACAUUCAAAGACAAAUGUUUAUUUAAACACUCUUGCAUCUUGCAUUUCCAUUUCUCUAUUUGGCUUUUACUGUAUUUGAUGCCCUGGAUAUAUCUGGAACUACAGCUAUGAAGUAGAAAGGACUCAUAGCAACUCAAGAAGCAGCUGCUCCCUGGCUUCCUGCAAGGUCAAGGUAGGCCACACUGCAGGUCCACACCUUGGCCCAGGACUUUCCAUACUGAUCUUUGAAUCACCCAAAAGAAGCCAGAGUCCUACUUUUUGGGCUAUUACAUCAGAUGUGACAAAAUCCUUACUCUGCAGAAAGAAGAGAGACAUUCUGAUAUACAGAAGCCUGGAGCCAGACAGAGUGGGAUAUGAAUGUGUUUCUAUUAGAUCUAAGUUCUGUGACUUGAGGCAUUGGAAGUUACCAGCUGGGUGAAGUGCAGGAAAUAGUUCUGAUUGAUAUUCUGUCCUCCAAACUUUUUUUUAACGUUUAUGC